GGGACCCUGAGAUCUUGACCUGAGCCGAAGGCAGAGGCUUUAAGCCACUGAGCCACCCAGGUGCCCCCUGCUUUUCUUUUUUAAAAACAGUGUGAUCACUAAUUACUUCACUAUAACUUCAUUUCUCACUGCUGUGAUAUACGUCCUGGUUUAUUGCAUCUAUCCCCAGCAGUAGGCGUGCGUUUUAUUUCCAUGGCUUUUCUUUGCAGAGCAAACAGGUAACAUUUGGCUUUUCAACAUAUGAUUGCAGAUGGUGACUUCAGGAGUAAGGACUAGGCUUUCACCUUAAAUCAAGGAGCUUGCUGAAAGAAGAUCCCAAGAGUGACUCUUCACCGGUAUCAGACCUGGGAGACACCUCAGAAUGUUCCAGAACCUUGGGCCAGCACUGGGGAGCCUCCACAUGGGAGGCCAAGCUGCUGCCCUGCCCAAGAGAAGAGUUGCAAGCAGGAGAGGGAAGAAGCAGCCACGACGGUGACAGAAUUGACCAGAACUCUAGACCAGACUUCAAGGAAGCUCUUCGAGGAAGAACCACAUCCUGUCCAUGCUGUUCUCCACGGCCCCUCUGAGCACCGCGGGACUUGGCCUGGAGACCGGAUGCCUGGACCAUCAAAACCAGAACGGCUUUCAGCUAAAUUCCUACCUGAGCUGUCUUGUACCACCACCUCUGAGACGCAAAUUGAGUCUACUGUUCCUCAGGAUGCCUGGGCCCGGUUUACUGUCCCGCAGGAAUCUUGCCCCUUGGUGCCAAAAGAACAUAGAUUUAUGUCUGGUGUCACCUUACCCUGAGCAUGUGUCGGGGAUGAGGGGGUGGUGUCCCUUGGACUUCUCCAGCGAGCAGUGCUCACUUCUCAGUGAGCAGAAAUGCAACUCAGUUUCAUGGCAGCUCCCUGCAGAGUUGGCAGAUGCCUUCAGGGCAAAAGCAGUUCUAAGAGUUCAUUUAUACACCAAACACAAAGGCAACUCAAAAGCAAACAGAAACAAGUAG
rnacentral:lncRNA from 1 species